rnacentral:rRNA from 1 species
UACGAAGGGGGCUAGCGUUGUUCGGAAUUACUGGGCGUAAAGCGAACGUAGGCGGUGUUCCAUGUCAGAGGUGAAAGCCUGGGGCUCAACUCCAGAAUUGCCUUUGAAACGGGAACGCUUGAGUCCGAGAGAGGAUGGCGGAAUUCCUAGUGUAGAGGUGAAAUUCGUAGAUAUUAGGAAGAACACCGGUGGCGAAGGCGGCCAUCUGGCUCGAUACUGACGCUCAGGUUCGAAAGCGUGGGGAGCAAACAGG